rnacentral:rRNA from 1 species
AUUGAACGCUGGCGGAAUGCUUUACACAUGCAAGUCGAACGGUAGAGGGGGCAACCCCUCGAGAGUGGCGAACGGGUGAGUAAUAUAUCGGAACGUGCCCAGUCGUGGGGGAUAACGUAGCGAAAGUUACGCUAAUACCGCAUACGAUCUAAGGAUGAAAGCGGGGGAUCGCAAGACCUCGCGCGAUUGGAGCGGCCGAUAUGAGAUUAGGUAGGUGGUGGGGUAAAGGCUCACCAAGCCAACGAUCUGUAGCUGGUCUGAGAGGACGACCAGCCACACUGGAACUGAGACACGGUCCAGACUCCUACGGGAGGCAGCAGUGGGGAAUUUUGGACAAUGGACGCAAGUCUGAUCCAGCCAUUCCGCGUGCAGGAUGAAGGCCCUCGGGUUGUAAACUGCUUUUGUACGGAACGAAAAGGUCUCUCUUAAUACGGGGGGCUCAUGACGGUACCGUAAGAAUAAGCACCGGCUAACUACGUGCCAGCAGCCGCCGUAA